rnacentral:lncRNA from 1 species
GUCAAAAGACAGGUAUUCAUAUUCAAGGCGUUCAGAUUUUCAACUGAUUUCAAAGAUAAAACACCAACAGGGGGCGAAAGAGUGUAUGCAUUGUGGAACCCAUCAUUAGCUUGUGUUUCCCUGGGGAACAUAUAUACUGGUGCACCUUUGUGAUAGCAGGUGGUGAAAUGUUUGGUGGAAAAGCAUUUCACUGGAAGUCCUUCACGGAAGAGGAGACUCUCAUCCAUACACAUUCAGCUCAUUUAGGAUUCUGGACACUCAACCGUCUGAGGACAGAGCCCAGUUUGAGAUCCUCAAGUCCCAGAUGUACGCCGAGUGAGCAGCCAAGAGGGACCGCACACCUAAACGAGCCAGGGCCAUGCCAGAGGAUGAGCCUGUCCAGAAAGGCCCAUCCCUCCCCCGUGUCAUCGAUGGCCAGCCAGCGUAUACGGUGAGACGCCUCCUGAGGGUUCGACCACGGGGCAGGGGUUUCCAGUACCUGGUUGACUGGGAGGGUUGCUGUCACUUCCUGAUCUGUUUCACCUGUCCUUGUGAUUGUCUCUACCCCCUCUAGGUAUCACUUAUUUUCCCUGGUGUAUUUAUCCCUGUGUUUCCUGUCUCUCUGUG